rnacentral:lncRNA from 1 species
UUCUUUUGUUUGAGCAUGAGCACCCGACCCGAGUCAAAGAAUUCCACCAGCUACUCUAAACUACUAAUGAACUUACCGCAACGAAGACAUCUGCUUACUUGUUUGAUUCUGCUACUACUGGGCUGCUACUACUUGGACUAGACUUUAGCCAACACCCGGACCGGACCGGACUGAUUUCACUCCAUGGCGCCGACCUCUCUUAUCUUGCCAACCCACCUGGAAUUCCUCCCUUUUGAAUCUGACUGAACUGCUUCCCUACCCGACCUCUCUACCACUACAAAUCAGAAUGAAAAGAGUACUUGCUUUGCGGCUAUGAGGGCAUCAAACAAAAGACACUCCUCUCUCAUCGCCAACAACAAGAACUGGAAAUAGCAUAGAUAGAAUAGGGAACCAACCCAGUUUCCCUACUACUGGGCUGCUACUACUUGUUUGAAAUGAAAAGAUGCGCGAGAGCUCCUGCCGCAUCACAUUAUCCGUUACUUGGCCCGUCUUCAAAUAGUAGUGUCUUGGCUCUGACCUUCUUUCUUACCUCUCCUCUGACUCUUUGAACAGCGAGCUCACCUCUUAGUUGCAUUCUUACAUUAACUACCGAGUUGCCCUCUACGCCCACUUCUUUCAACAAGCACUCGAGCAGGACUACCUGGACUACCGGUAUUAAACCAGAACUGUAACGGGACUACUACUUCCAACUGAUAUCCGGUCUUCCACUCGAACAGGACUACCCUAACAAGCAAGUAAACAAAGUCAGUCAACUCCCCGAGCCCAGUAAAAGUAAGUAACCCAGCCUCAAAAGUAAGUCAACAAGCCUACCUUACCCGCUAAGCUACUUCACCUAUAUAAUAACAGAGAUUUUGAGAGGGCAAGUCACUACUAAACAAGCAGACAAGAAACUAUGCCAUGGUUUAUAGGCUUUCAAUUCAUGAUUUCGCAUCUUUAUCUGAUUGGUAAGAAAACAAACUCCAUAAGUGAUUCAAUAGUGCAUUUCUUCCUAACAUCUUUAGGGUUGUUCAGGGCAGAAUUCACUACUAAUUAAUAGAAUGACCUAAACUCAGAUAUCCCAUACCUAUAGUAGUACCUUAGCUACAUAGCAUCAGUACCACUGACAUCAGUCUUAGGAGCUACAUACCAAUACUAGAUGCGGGGGACUUAAUAAGUAGGGGCUUACUCCACUUUAACUAGUUUACUUCUGAAUUCACUCGCUAGUUUACUUCUCUGCUAAAACAUCUUCUGCACUCGACCUCGCCUCUUGAGCUCACUCCUACAGCACCUAGUAACAGACUGAGGGCUGACUCACUGACUUAUGACUUAAGGCUUACUACUCACUAAUCGAAUUCGAACUUUCCUACUUGAGUUCACCCCUUGCCCACCGAUCUCCAACAAUAGGAUUUACUGGUGGAAUUCUGACUAUAGAGCACCCGGCUCCUUAGCUCAAUUCUAUCCCUAGCAGGCACCGUAUCAGCCUUGCCUUGACCUGCUCCAUUCCUUGACUACCGAGCAGCUUUCUUAUCUACCUCGCCUCUGGCUCAUCUAAACUAGCUGUUGGCUUCAAUACCUCUUAUCCUACAUAUCCAGCUACUAUACCUCAGGCUCUUUGAACUAACCACUCCAUUCCUUAGUCAUUCCUUAGUAUAGGACCGAUAAGUCAACUCUGAUCUUGCUCCAAAGAAGCUCUUAACUACGAAACUACUUGUUGGCACAAUCACUCCCCUUUCUCUCCUUCCCCGCUUCAAAGCCAACACCCGGACUUGAUACUUUACAAAGAACAUCAACCUCAUUUCCAAGCACCCGUAUAUAGUAGUCUCAGAAGGCAAUAAUCAAAGGCAAGGCAAUCAGGCUUCAUUCGAGUCAACAACCUUGAGUUGAAUACUUGCAUUUUGAAUACUUUCAUUGCGGAAUUGAGAGCACAGAGCCCUUACAGGAUUGGUGAGAAAUCUCUAUCAUACCUGGCACCCGGCACCCGAAACAAGACUUGGGGAAUUGUGCUUGUCGGCUUUCUUUUGGAGUCUACUCUCCUGUUACUAAAAUAUAGACUACUCUACCCUAAGCUCUUAUCUAGAUUCAAUAUAGCUGGCAUAAAGAAAAGUUAUAAACGAGUCCUCACUAGGUAGGCGAGAAGGAGAGCCCUAAGGUUUGCAAUCCAGUUCAAGUGGAAUCUGUCUUUGCUUAGUUGACAGAGUUAGGUUAGUUGAAUGAGCCAGAGUUUGCAGAGAGGAGCAAAAGGUACUGGGGCAAUCAAUAAUUAUGAAAAGAUCUAGGGGCAAUCAAUAGUUAUGAAAAGGUGGAUGCGCCUCCACCACUAAAGCACCGAACAAGUUUCUUAGAAACAAAAGCACCGAACCUGCAGUAGAGUAACCACCAAAACAAGUAAGUCAACUAGCCUAUAACAAGCAAGUAAACUACCCGAGCCUAGUAUGGGAAUUCCACGUAAUUGACAGUUUCUCGAGCGUUAGUAGGGUCAGAUAAGACUUACUCGCUCACUGGGCGGACCAGAAGUAGACUCAUCGACAACACCGGAAACGGAUGUGAUGAACCUAGUUUGAACGCCUGAUUUGGAACUAGCCGAUUGGUAAUAAAACUACAUAAGUGACCAAGACACUACAUGACAAGAAGUUAUUACAAGUCCCGCUUUCUAAGAGCGUCAGUCUCGGCUUGAGGGUUCGACUUCACCUCUUAUUCAAUUUCGAGUUAGACGAACAGUACUACGAUAAUUCCAUUGGCCCUGAAUUAAUGCCUAAAGUCAAGUCUCCUCUAUUACUCGGUUAAAGCAAAGAGAAGGGUACAGCGAGGAAAGAAGAUACUCUAAGCCAAUAACCUAUCUUGUGGAUUUGGACACUGAUUCACUUCCAUAACCGACAAUACCACUCGAAACCGUCCCAUCCGGAGCAAGUCAUCAAGGGAAAGCACUGGGAGCUAAGGAAGGACAUUAUAAAGGUUAAGUAAGGGGCCAAGCAACGGUUUGAGUCUGUAACUCACUGGUUUGGUUCUUGAACUACCGAGCUGCAUUCUCAGUGGUACCGGGUUCAGCCUUGGAAUACAGUGUUUGGUUCUUUGCCUCACCAGCUUAAGUCUGAGUCUGCUUAGUGUCAUUCUGAGCCUACCUGGUAGCAGUCUUGCCCUUACCGGUUUGAUUCUUGUUGGUGUAUUGGUUUCAUUCUCACUGCCCUGGCGCAGCCUGAUUGGAUCGAGUUGAAGUCUGAGUAGCCCUUGGUUGAGUCUAGCUCCCCUUGCUUUAAGUCUGAUUGGGGUGAGUUGAAGACUGUGACUCCCUAGUUGGAUCUGUAAUCCUUAAUAAGAAGAGAUAGAAUUAUCUACUAUUUCCCUACUGAGUAUGUAUAUGAUAAAGAUGUCGACUUUUCUUCAACUGAUAGCGGCCCUGCCGCGACACAUUAGUAGUGUCUUGGCUGUGAUUUGAGAAAUUGAUUCAUUUGAUUACAAUACCCUAGCCCUAGUAUAGUCAGUAAGUCUUCCCCUCACUCUUCUCUUAUAAGUGUUAACCCCGAGCUCAUCUAACUCUCCUUGCUUCACUGCAUCCCUACUUCCGUAACUAAGGGACCGGUCUUAAACUCGUCAACUAUAGCAUCGACCUAAACUCUGGUUUCAGGUUAGCACUAGAAUUCACUCCUUACGCUAGUGUUCUGUCAACUAACAACUACUGAUGAAACUUAACUACUUAGGGCUUUCAAAACCAUGCCAAUGACUUAAGGGCACUGGACUUGUAUACCAAACCUACCCCUAUGACCUAUCACUAUGACUUAGAGCUAGAGCACCAAACAAAACAUCCCUUUCCAACCUAACCUGGACUACCGGUCUGAAGACUCUAACCAUUCACUUAAGGGCUGCUUGAAACUUAUGAUCUUUGAACUCUGGCUCAUCUUUAUUUACUUCCCACAACAAGCUUAAGGACUGGCUCUUCUCUGAUCCUAAACCCCUGGCUCUGGCU